UACGGAGGAUCCAAGCGUUAUCCGGAAUCAUUGGGUUUAAAGGGUCCGUAGGCGGUUUAGUAAGUCAGUGGUGAAAGCCCAUCGCUCAACGGUGGAACGGCCAUUGAUACUGCUAGACUUGAAUUACUAGGAAGUAACUAGAAUAUGUAGUGUAGCGGUGAAAUGCGUAGAGAUGUGGAGGAACACCAAUGGCGAAGGCAGCCCCCUGGGUCGAUACUGACGCUCAUGCACGAAAGCGUGGGUAGCAAACAGG
rnacentral:rRNA from 1 species